rnacentral:lncRNA from 1 species
GAAGAAUCCAGGCGGUGGCUGACUUGACCGAGUGUUCACACGUGCUAACUUUUAACAUGCAGUUAUUUGUUAAAACACGUGGACUAAUCGUGGUUUUUAUGGUGCUGACGAUAUGUAGAUUUGGAAGUUCUCCUCCUCAGAAGAGGUCCGGCAAUUGCAAUUGUUCUAUGUCUUGUGAUGAAAUACCUGAGCUGAAGAAAUACGAGAGCGUUGAAGUUCAUGUGCAAAAGCAAUCAGUAGUGAUUUAUAAUAAAAAACAUGAAGUCUCCAGUUUAUUUAAUGAAGGCCACUGUUCUGUGGUCGUGCCAGAUUGUUUACAAGAGGAUGAAGAGGUCGAAUUUAGAAUAUAUGCUCAUAAUAAAAAGCCAAUCUAUGAAAAAAUGGAUUUAAAGCCUGAGUGUAAAACAGAGAAACCACCAGAAGAGAGCAACAAGCGGACAGACAGAGGGGACAAAACUGAUUCGGUCACAGAUCCGCCAGAGGAUGCUGAGAUGACAGACGGGGUGAAGGUGACAAUAGGCCUAGUCUGUGCUGGACUUAUCAUUUUUCUGGCUGGAGGAUACAUUUGUUGGAGAAAGUAUAAACAUCAGCAACAGCAGCAAAACACAAUCUGAUUCAUCGCAAAUCACCAAAAUGACACAUGUGGUGCUGACAGGAACUCCUCCAACACACUCCUGAUCCUGCUGAUUAUUGGCUUUUUUUUGUUGUUUAAAUUCCUGCCAAAGAACUGGUGCCAUUUUCUCCAUAGAGCACCACUCUACACUGGUCUGAAAUUAUUGUUUUGGAUCAGACCAAGAGAUGACUCGCUACAGAAUAUACUACUGCACUUUUCUCAGACUUUUGGGAAGUUAGGUUUAGGGUUAUUUGUUCUUCUCAUACAGUCUGCUGUGAAAUCUUGCACACUCGCACUUUUGGUGCACACAUCAUUUAGAUGAACCAUACCACUUAAACACUAAAUUAAUGUCAACUUUGGUAUGGUUUGCUGCUGAUGAUCUGAAUGCAACUGUCCUAAAUUGUGUGUCGGUUAACCAUUGUUUUUAUUUGGAUGUCAGUUUUGGCAGCUCGAUCACGGCAGCUGUAGAGACAAGUGCCAUUCUGUGUUGAUGUUUACAAACAAAACAAAGGUUCAAAACCAACUGAACUUUGUUUAGGACCAAACAAUCGAACCAAGUGUGAAAGCAUCUGUAUGUUUUUAUUCCAAAUAAUUGUUUGUAUUUUCCUAUAUGCUCAUGUUGCACUAAAUGAAUUAGGUACAGUAUGCAGAGGCGGACAGUAACUAAGUACAUUUACUUGAGUAUUGUACUUGGGUACACUUUUUGAGUAUCUGUACUUUUUUUCUGGGAACUUGCGACAUUAACUUCACUACAUUUGAAAGACAAAUAUUGUACUUUUCACUCCACUACAUUUCUAUCAAGGUCCUCGAAGUAGAAAGUCGUUACCAUGUAGCAGCUUUGAAAGUCAGUGGGUGAUUUUUUUUCUUCUCUAAAACAUGACAUGACAUUCUUCUUUCAGACAGUUUAUCAGUAAUCACUCUUGUAGCUUGUAGGUUUGAUUUUUUUAUUUUCUUAUCAGUCUGUAUUUACAGGAUUUCUCUGUUCAAAUGUGGAUGAAUAGCUACACAUAGAUGUGUCCAGAGCUGUCCAUCCUGCUUUUGUGGGGGUGUAGGGGUGUUAAGUAAUAAUACUUUUUUUUGUUUAGUUUUCCCCCAUAGGUUUUUAACAUUCUAAAAGCUCUUUAUUCCAAAGAUACUACAAGCGAGUCAGUGUAUUCAGUAGGUGUAUUGUAUUGUAAGUUGCUUCAGAUGUAUUGCAAGUAUUACAUACAACAAUAAUAAAACAGUGCAUUGACAUAAAAAAAGGAAAUUUACUUUGGGUACUUAAGUACUUAUAAAAGCAAGUACUUCUGUACUUUUACUUAAGUAAAAAUCUGUCUUUACAACUUUUACUUGUAAUGGAGUAAUAUUUGACCAGCAGUAGCUGUACUUUCAAGUAAUGGAGUUGUGUACUUUGUCCGCCUCUGACAGUAUGUAUCUAGUAAGCUCAGUGACCUUGAUGUUUUAUAUUUUCUUUUCUUUCUGAAACUAUGCAUCAGGUCAUUGUACUGUAAACAACUUCUGAUCUGUGAUGAAACCCCUAUUGAUGUGAUGACU